UACGGGGGGGGCAAGCGUUGUUCGGAAUUACUGGGCGUAAAGGGCUCGUAGGCGGCCAACUAAGUCGGACGUGAAAUCCCCAGGCUCAACCUGGGAACUGCGUCUGAUACUGGAUGGCUUGAAUCCGGGAGAGGGAUGCAGAAUUCCUGGUGUAGCGGUGAAAUGCGCAGAUAUCAGGAGGAACACCGGUGGCGAAGGCGGGUCUCUGGGCCGAAAUUGACGCUGAGGAGCGAAAGCGUGGGGAGCAAACAGG
rnacentral:rRNA from 1 species